UACGGAGGGUGCGAGCGUUGUUCGGAAUUACUGGGCGUAAAGCGCGUGCAGGCGGCCGACUAAGUCAGGUGUGAAAGCCCGGGGCUCACCUCCGGAAGUGCGCUUGAAACUGGUCGGCUAGAGUACGGGAGAGGGAAGCGGAAUUCCUGGUGUAGCGGUGAAAUGCGUAGAUAUCGGGGAGGAACACCGGUGGCGAAGGCGGCGACCUGGGUAGAUACUGACGCUGAGGUGCGAAAGCGUGGGGAGCAAACAGG
rnacentral:rRNA from 1 species